GUGGAACAACAAGUUCUAGAGUCAAACCCUCUUCUUGAAGCAUUUGGCAAUGCAAAGACAGUGAGGACUGAGGACCAAUAACUCAAGUCGGUUUGGUAAAUUUGUUGAUAUUCAA